rnacentral:rRNA from 1 species
UGCAGUCGAACGAUGAAGCCCUUCGGGGUGGAUUAGUGGCGAACGGGUGAGUAACACGUGGGCAAUCUGCCCUUCACUCUGGGACAAGCCCUGGAAACGGGGUCUAAUACCGGAUAACACUCGCCGAGGCAUCUCGGUGGGUUGAAAGCUCCGGCGGUGAAGGAUGAGCCCGCGGCCUAUCAGCUUGUUGGUGAGGUAGAAGCUCACCAAGGCGACGACGGGUAGCCGGCCUGAGAGGGCGACCGGCCACACUGGGACUGAGACACGGCCCAGACUCCUACGGGAGGCAGCAGUGGGGAAUAUUGCACAAUGGGCGAAAGCCUGAUGCAGCGACGCCGCGUGAGGGAUGACGGCCUUCGGGUUGUAAACCUCUUUCAGCAGGGAAGAAGCGAAAGUGACGGUACCUGCAGAAGAAGCGCCGGCUAACUACGUGCCAGCAGCCGCGGUAAUACGUAGGGCGCAAGCGUUGUCCGGAAUUAUUGGGCGUAAAGAGCUCGUAGGCGGUCUGUCACGUCGGAUGUGAAAGCCCGGGGCUUAACCCCGGGUCUGCAUUCGAUACGGGCAGACUAGAGUGUGGUAGGGGAGAUCGGAAUUCCUGGUGUAGCGGUGAAAUGCGCAGAUAUCAGGAGGAACACCGGUGGCGAAGGCGGAUCUCUGGGCCAUUACUGACGCUGAGGAGCG